GAAAUGCAGCCAAAUGCUGCUUAUUUUUUCGGUUUUCGCUAAUUUCUUGACUUUUUCCGACGCGCUUGCAUUUAAAUCUGGCUCCCGUCGCUCUGUGCAGCUGGCCUGUACCACUACACCUGCUGUGCCCCCCACCCUUCUUUCACAUAAUGGUAUGAUCCUAGUGUGUCCUCGCAUAUGAUUGGCCGCAUGGUGGCCCAGCUAAAUAAAGACUGCCUGCAAGGAUUCUCAGCAAGAGUAGAAGCGGCUGGAGAUUCUGCUCUCCCCGACGGGAGUCUGCUCUUCUAGCGGCAUCUCGCGAUCGGCGUGUUGGAGACCCCUGAAUUAAAUUAUCAAGUCACCUCAAGUCAGAAGGCUCAAGUCCAAGUCAAGUCCCAAGUCAUUGGUGUUCAAGUCCAAGUCGAGUCGCAAGUGUUAUGUGAUUUUGUCAUGUUGAGUCUCAAGUCAUCAAAUUGAUGACUCGAGUCUGACUCGAGUCCAAGUCAUGUGACUCGAGUCCACACCUCUGGUGGUCAUUACAUGAUACUAGUACGUUGCCAACAACAACACUGUCCUUGUUUACCUGCAGGAGUACAAACUGUGGGACAGUGAGCUGGAGUUUGUGGAGACUCUUCUGGAAGAAGAUGUGAGGAAUAACUCUGCAUGGAACCAGAGGCAUUUUGUUAUUUCUCACACUACAGGAUUCUCUGAACCUGCAUUAGUGGAGAGAGAGAUUCAGUAUUGUCUGACCCAGAUCAAGAAGGCUCCACACAAUGAGAGUGCAUGGAACUAUUUAAAAGGGAUGAUGCAGG